CAGACCUAAAUUUGCUGUCCUGUUUUCCAUCAUUUUACUUUACAAACAUUUUUCUAGUUUUCUAGAAACCCUUUUAGAUGUCAUAUUAUCAAUUUUUGUCUUCCAAACUGAAAUUCACUGAACAUCUUCCUGGGUCCCUACACCUGCUUUAUUGCCCAUAUGCCAUAUGCCGGCUUUGGUCUACUUAACAUCUCAGUCUUCUAGCACAGAGCUUAAACAAGAGAAAAGCUGUUACUGUGUGUGUCUGACACAGUAGAGAUUUAUGAUUGUUGUAUGAAUUCAUAUAACCCUUAGGAAAUCCCGUCAAUUAUUUUAUUUCAUAUCUCUCAUGAAGAAAAGUCCCAUCCCACUCUCCUUCAUCAUUCUCUCCACGAACACCCUCUUCUAUUUAACUUUGUAACAGUAAUUUAUCUGCCUUGCUUCACCACCUUGUCCAUCACUUUUCUCUUCCUGAUCUGCAAACCGUGUCUCCCACUCCAGUGCCUUAACUCUUGGUACCUUGCCAAGCGUCGGACUGCUGAAGUGGUGACAUGAGCUUUUCUGAGUGGCUAUGAUGUUUAUCCAGGAGUUCUAGAAUCUGUCCCAAGAUGUUGUACUUCAGUUAGGGCUGGCUACCUGACAUCUCAUGUUAUGUUGCAAUGCAUCAUGUAGAAAAUUGGAAAGAGGUCUUGGACCUCUUGGGUGGUGAGGGUGUGACUGAGCGACAGUGCUGUGGCAGCAGUAACAUCAUUAUUGCCAAAACAGGCAGAAAGGAGUGGGUGGCUGAUAUGAGUGGCACUGAGCUGACAUUGCAUGAGAACUGAGUACUAACUGAGGACAGGCUGGGAAACCAGAGUAGGAUUUUCAGUUUCUCAUUUGAACUUGCACCACAUUAGUUACAAGACCAAGUUCAGGAAUAGUUUUCCCCUGGAGAAUGAAGGUAUGUAAUAGACAGGAGAACAGUCUUAGCUUUUAAAGGUGCAGCGAUGAAAGAUAUGGAGCAUUUCAAGGAAAAAAAAAUGGGUGGGGGAAAUGUAACAUUUUUGUUUCCAAAUUAUUGAAAACAAUAUUUUUUUUCUUCUGUAAAUGUUCUGUCAGUAAUUGGAAUUUUUAUACAUUGUGCUAAUCCUA
rnacentral:lncRNA from 1 species